rfam:Gorilla gorilla gorilla genomic chromosome, chr14, whole genome shotgun sequence
GCCAGGUGUGGUGGUGUGUGCCUGUAGUCCCAGCUACUUGGGAGGCUGAGGUGGGAGGAUUGCUUGAGCCCAGGAAUUUGAGGCUGCAGUGAGCUAUGAUCGUGCCACUGCACUCCAACCUGGGUGACAGAGCGAGACCUUGUCUCAA